UCUUUUCCUUUUGUGCCCGCCGCCGCGGUAAUACGUAUGGAGCAAGCGUUAUCCGGAUUUACUGGGUGUAAAGGGAGUGUAGGUGGCCAUGCAAGUCAGAAGUGAAAAUCCGGGGCUCAACCCCGGAACUGCUUUUGAAACUGUGAGGCUGGAGUGCAGGAGGGGUGAGUGGAAUUCCUAGUGUAGCGGUGAAAUGCGUAGAUAUUAGGAGGAACACCAGUGGCGAAGGCGGCUCACUGGACUGUAACUGACACUGAGGCUCGAAAGCGUGGGGAGCAAACAGG
rnacentral:rRNA from 1 species